AUGAACGCUAGCUACAGGCUUAACACAUGCAAGUCGAGGGGCAGCAUGGUCUUAGCUUGCUAAGGCCGAUGGCGACCGGCGCACGGGUGAGUAACACGUAUCCAACCUGCCGUCUACUCUUGGACAGCCUUCUGAAAGGAAGAUUAAUACAAGAUGGCAUCAUGAGUCCGCAUGUUCACAUGAUUAAAGGUAUUCCGGUAGACGAUGGGGAUGCGUUCCAUUAGAUAGUAGGCGGGGUAACGGCCCACCUAGUCUUCGAUGGAUAGGGGUUCUGAGAGGAAGGUCCCCCACAUUGGAACUGAGACACGGUCCAAACUCCUACGGGAGGCAGCAGUGAGGAAUAUUGGUCAAUGGGCGAGAGCCUGAACCAGCCAAGUAGCGUGAAGGAUGACUGCCCUAUGGGUUGUAAACUUCUUUUAUAAAGGAAUAAAGUCGGGUAUGGAUACCCGUUUGCAUGUACUUUAUGAAUAAGGAUCGGCUAACUCCGUGCCAGCAGCCGCGGUAAUACGGAGGAUCCGAGCGUUAUCCGGAUUUAUUGGGUUUAAAGGGAGCGUAGAUGGAUGUUUAAGUCAGUUGUGAAAGUUUGCGGCUCAACCGUAAAAUUGCAGUUGAUACUGGAUAUCUUGAGUGCAGUUGAGGCAGGCGGAAUUCGUGGUGUAGCGGUGAAAUGCUUAGAUAUCACGAAGAACUCCGAUUGCGAAGGCAGCCUGCUAAGCUGCAACUGACAUUGAGGCUCGAAAGUGUGGGUAUCAAACAGGAUUAGAUACCCUGGUAGUCCACACGGUAAACGAUGAAUACUCGCUGUUUGCGAUAUACUGCAAGCGGCCAAGCGAAAGCGUUAAGUAUUCCACCUGGGGAGUACGCCGGCAACGGUGAAACUCAAAGGAAUUGACGGGGGCCCGCACAAGCGGAGGAACAUGUGGUUUAAUUCGAUGAUACGCGAGGAACCUUACCCGGGCUUAAAUUGCAGAUGAAUUACGGUGAAAGCCGUAAGCCGCAAGGCAUCUGUGAAGGUGCUGCAUGGUAGUAGUCAGCUCGUGCCGUGAGGUGUCGGUUUAAGUGCCAUAACGAGCGCAACCCUUGUUGUCAGUUACUAACAGGUUCCGCUGAGGACUCUGACAAGACUGCCAUCGUAAGAUGUGAGGAAGGUGGGGAUGACGUCAAAUCAGCACGGCCCUUACGUCCGGGGCUACACACGUGUUACAAUGGGGGGUACAGAGGGCCGCUACCACGCGAGUGGAUGCCAAUCCCCAAAACCUCUCUCAGUUCGGACUGGAGUGUGCAACCCGACUCCACGAAGCUGGAUUCGCUAGUAAUCGCGCAUCAGCCACGGCGCGGUGAAUACGUUCCCGGGCCUUGUACACACCGCCCGUCAAGCCAUGGGAGCCGGGGGUACCUGAAGUGCGUAACCGCGAGGAGCGCCCUAGGGUAAAACCGGA
rnacentral:rRNA from 1 species